AUUGAACGCUGGCGGCAGGCCUAAUACAUGCAAGUCGAACGGUAACAUAAAAGAAGCUUGCUUCUUUUGAUGACGAGUGGCGGACGGGUGAGUAAUAUUUGGGAAACUACCUGAUAGAGGGGGACAACAGUUGGAAACGACUGCUAAUACCGCAUAUAGCCUGAGGGUGAAAGCAGCAAUGCGCUAUCAGAUGUGCCCAAACGGGAUUAGCUAGUAGGUGAGGUAAAGGCUCACCUAGGCGACGAUCUCUAGCUGGUCUGAGAGGAUGAUCAGCCACAUUGGGACUGAGACACGGCCCAGGCUCCUACGGGAGGCAGCAGUAGGGAAUAUUGCACAAUGGAGGAAACUCUGAUGCAGCCAUGCCGCGUGUGUGAAGAAGGCCUUCGGGUUGUUAAAGCACUUUCGGAGGGGAGGAAAGGAAUGAGUACCUCAGAAGGAAGACACCGGCUAACUCCGUGCCA
rnacentral:rRNA from 1 species